rnacentral:rRNA from 1 species
UGCAAGUCGAGCGGCAGCGCGGGGCAACCUGGCGGCGAGCGGCGAACGGGUGAGUAAUGCAUCGGAACAUGUCCAUGUCGUGGGGGAUAGCCCGGCGAAAGCCGGAUUAAUACCGCAUACGCCCGAGAGGGGAAAGUGGGGGACCGCAAGGCCUCACGCGAUUGGGUUGGCCGAUGUCCGAUUAGCUAGUUGGCGGGGUAAGAGCCCACCAAGGCGAUGAUCGGUAGCUGGUCUGAGAGGAUGAUCAGCCACACUGGAACUGAGACACGGUCCAGACUCCUACGGGAGGCAGCAGUGGGGAAUUUUGGACAAUGGGGGAAACCCUGAUCCAGCCAUUCCGCGUGAGUGAAGAAGGCCUUCGGGUUGUAAAGCUCUUUUGUCCGGAGCGAAACGGUGCUGGUGAAUAGCCAGCGCUACUGACGGUACCGGAAGAAUAAGCACCGGCUAACUACGUGCCAGCAGCCGCGGUAAUACGUAGGGUGCGAGCGUUAAUCGGAAUUACUGGGCGUAAAGCGUGCGCAGGCGGUUUUGUAAGCCAGAAGUGAAAUCCCCGGGCUUAACCUGGGAAUGGCAUUUGGGACUGCAAGGCUGGAGUGCGGCAGAGGAGACUGGAAUUCCUGGUGUAGCAGUGAAAUGCGUAGAUAUCAGGAGGAAUACCGAUGGCGAAGGCAGGUCUCUGGGCUGACACUGACGCUCAUGCACGAAAGCGUG